ensembl:lncRNA
GCAUGAUUAUUACCAUUGCACCCCAGUGUUUAUAAUACCUGGUCAUAGGAAGGAUGGAACAAACAAAAAAUAAAGGCAAACUUUUACCCCCAAAAAAAGAGAACAUGAGAAAGAGAUUACUUUUGUGAAUCAGAAAGGUCACCUAGGCCAAAUGGUGUCUCCGAGGCAGAAAGCAAGGGAACUCGGGCAGGGAAGAGAAUUGUGUGCCUGAAAAAGGCAUAGCCAGUUGAAGGCAGAGGAAGGUGGAGAAGGGCAAAUUGAGCUCAUCUGAUGACCUCUGAGGUUCAGUAAUAAAGUCUCCAGUUGCUAAAAGGGGAGGAGAAGACACCAGGGUAUGAAGGAGAGAAUUGGCAUGGCUGGGAAGAAAUAAGGAAGAGAGGUUUUACCUCUAGAUUAGACAACAUUAUAAGUGGCAGCACCUAGGGCAUUACUUUGUCUCUAAAGAGGAAGCAGAGGCUCUUGGUUUUAUGGAGUCCUAAAAAUGCUGUGUCAUCCUCCUGCUCUCACCUUUCCAGAAGACCUGGCAGCAGCUCCCGCACGCCUCACCCAAGGUUGAUCUUUCUUCCUUGAAAGACUGGCAUAAUCUAAACUCUCCAAAUUGAAAUCAAAGAAUAGUCAGCGAUAAGCACGGGGCAGUUACAGCUGUGGUUCAUGGGAAGCAAACCAGGUCAGUGCAUAUUGACAUAGAGCUGUGUUCCCUUGUCCAUUUAUAAAAUACCCUCACAUCUUUCCAAAUCCAUCUCUAGCAUUCUCUGCUAAAACUGGUUAAAUAAAUU